AUGCAGUAUCAGGCCACCUGCUCUGUGCCACCAGAUCUAGUGUACUUGUGUCUGGUUGUUGUCACCUUGGCUGCAUCUCGCCAACAUGACAAGCUCCUCUUAGUAGGCUGGGUACUCCCACCGCUUCAGCUCCAUCAGUGUUGCUACAAAGGGCAGCAGGAGCUUGUAAGAACUGACACUACAAUGGGAUUGAAAGGAUGGCUGAGAAAAUGGUGGUGGGAGUGGGCAGCAACUGAUGGAUGGAGGGCAUCAGAGAUGUUAGACACUAUGAACAGGCUUACCUUUAAUUCUAGGUGCUCCAGGGCCCUGAGGUUCUCCAUCAAGAAGGUCAAAGACUUGACAAAACUUGAGGUUGCUACUGAAGACAUCUCCUGCAGCUGCCAGAUGUCAUGGGGCCGCAGCUUGUCAGCAUCCUGUCCUGGAACUCUAAUGGUGCAUUCCUGCAGAAAACCAGCUAAGAUGCCUGAUGGAACCUGUCGCUUAUCCAAUAGUAGAACUUCAGAGCAGCAUUUUCAAGUUCAGGGCUCCUGUUUUACAGAGAGAAACCUUACCAGCCUAGACAUCAUCUUGGGAAAUCCACCAAUCCUCUAUUACUAUAGAGUCAACGCUUUAAGAUGA
rnacentral:lncRNA from 1 species